UACGUAGGGUGCGAGCGUUGUCCGGAAUUAUUGGGCGUAAAGAGCUCGUAGGCGGUGUGUCACGUCGUUCGUGAAAACCUGCAGCUUAACUGUGGGCGUGCGGUCGAUACGGGCAUCACUGGAGUUCGGCAGGGGAGACUGGAAUUCCGGGUGUAGCGGUGAAAUGCGCAGAUAUCAGGAGGAACACCGGUGGCGAAGGCGGGUCUCUGGGCCGAUACUGACGCUGAGGAGCGAAAGCGUGGGGAGCAAACAGG
rnacentral:rRNA from 1 species